UUCCUAUUGGUCACUUUGUUUAUGGCACGGAUCAGACAAAUCGAUGGUUCACAACCAUUCAUUAACUUGCAUCCAACGGAUACAAUUAAACACAUUUAUUAUAAUUUUUUGUUUUUUUCUUCUUCCUCCUUUUCUCGUUUCUGGUUUCUCAGAUCUCUCUCUCUCUCUCUUUCUCUCUCUCUCUCUCUCACGACAUUGCAUCUCCUUUUUUUUCAAUUGCUCGUCGGAAACGAAAAAUCAGUCGCCGAGACCACACCAUGUACGUUUGAGGAAAGAGAGCCCUGAUUUCAGAGACUUGAAGGAUAAAAGCAGGAGAUGGAGAAGGUGAAGAACAGCCGGAGAUGGAGAGAAGAGGCGGAGGCAGAGGCAUAACAAACGACGGAUGUGGUGGAGCCGAGUAAGAAGAAGAAGAAGAAAGGCGGAGAAGGAGAGCAGACAGAGACGCAAGGAGGAAGAGGAUGGAGUAGGAAGAUGACGAGCAGAUCGAACGGUGGUGGUCGUGGCUGGUGGUCUGGGCGUCAACGAGGAGUGCGGCCGAGAUUGAAGCAGAACGUGGUUCAGUUAGGGUCAGUUAGGUUUGGUUAGGGUUAGUUAAUAAACCGGAUUUGUAUGUAAACCGGUUAUUGUAAUAAACCAAUACAUUUGUAAACCAAAAUUUUAAUAAUAAAUAAUUUUAUUCACAAA